rnacentral:rRNA from 1 species
GUGGGGAGUUUUGGACAAUGGGCGCAAGCCUGAUCCAGCAAUGCCGCGUGCAGGAAGAAGGCCUUCGGGUUGUAAACUGCUUUUGUACGGAACGAAACGGUCCUGGUUAAUACCUGGGGCUAAUGACGGUACCGUAAGAAUAAGCACCGGCUAACUACGUGCCAGCAGCCGCGGUAAUACGUAGGGUGCGAGCGUUAAUCGGAAUUACUGGGCGUAAAGCGUGCGCAGGCGGUGCUGUAAGACAGGCGUGAAAUCCCCGGGCUCAACCUGGGAAUUGCGCUUGUGACUGCAGUGCUGGAGUACGGCAGAGGGGGAUGGAAUUCCGCGUGUAGCAGUGAAAUGCGUAGAUAUGCGGAGGAACACCGAUGGCGAAGGCAGUCCCCUGGGCCUGUACUGACGCUCAUGCACGAAAGCGUGGGGAGCAAACAGGAUUAGAAACCCGGGUAGUCC